AAUCAACGCUGGCGGCGUGCCUAACACAUGCAAGUCGAACGCGAAAGCCCCUUCGGGGGUAAGUAGAGUGGCGUCCGGGUGAGUAACACGUAGGUAAUCUACCUUCGGGUGGGGAAUAACCAGUCGAAAGAUUGGCUAAUACCGCAUAAUGCAGCGGCACCUAAUGGUGAUUAGUUGUUAAAGCGGGGGAUCGUAAGACCUCGCGCCUGAAGAGGAGCCUGCGGCAGAUUAGCUAGNGGUGAGGUAAUGGCUCACCAAGGCUUCGAUCUGUAGCUGGUCUGAGAGGACGGCCAGCCACACUGGCACUGACACACGGGCCAGACUCCUACGGGAGGCAGCAGUGGGGAAUUUUGGGCAAUGGGCGAAAGCCUGACCCAGCAACGCCGCGUGAGGGAGGAAAUCCUUCGGGAUGUAAACCUCACAAGCAAGGGAAGAGAGCUCAGGGCCGAAUAAGCUUUGAGUCCGACGGUACCUUGCGUAAGCCACGGCUAAC
rnacentral:rRNA from 1 species